GUUCGGUAGAUCCGGUCGAGGUGGUUUUCGUUUACCAGCGCGUAGGUGGUCUAAGUUCCUAUGACCGAGUC
rnacentral:tRNA from 1 species